AUCCGUCUCUGCGCCUCCCGAUAGCGCGGCCCGCAAGACCCGGCCCGGAUUAUGGAGCUGGAGCGGAGCGGAGUCGCUUCUGCGCCUCCCGACGGCGCGGCCCAAGACUGCCCUUUGCAUUCCGGCGCGGUGUCUGCGCGGGCUGCGGCGCUCGGCGCUGACGGCGGCCGGUGUGGGCUGCAGCUCGGCCCGGGACUUCCUCGCGGGCGGCGGGGCGGCGAGCGCACAUCCCACAGAUCUCCUCCCCUGGCUUCCCCGGAAGCUCGGCGCGGCCGGCCGAGGCGAGCGUGCUAGCAGCCGUUGAGGAGGCGGCGGCGGCCCGCGCCUCAGGAAGGGCAUGUUCGUGAGCGGAGGGGCGCGCCCCCCGCCGCCCCAGCGCCCCCUCCCCACGGCCGCCGCCGCGCCCGCGCCUCGAUAAAAGGGCGGCCGCGCUCCUUGCCAAGAGACCCAGAACGAUGACACGGCGGGCGGCUCGUUGACAAGAUCGUGCCCGUCCGCCAGCGUGUCCGCCAUGGGCUGCGCCCCGAGCGCCCGCGUCUGUGAGGGCCGGGGGGGCUGCGCGGCGGCAGGAAGGAGCCGCAGGACGCGCCGCUGAGGUCGUCCGGCCCGAGGACCGGCGGCGCCCUGCCCCGGCCCGGCAACACUGGCCCCGCAGAGCCGGAGCCUCGCGACGGCGGCGCCACGAAGAGCCUCCUCUCCAAAUGGUGAUUCAGGGGCCAUCUUUGACCCAUGAGACCCAAGGCAACCAUGCUGGCCUGCGAGGACAAGCUCACAGAAACGGAAAGAGCCUGGAGGGUCACAGGUAAGAAGAUUUUCAGGGCCAAGUCUGGAAGUGGUACAUCCAUGACAGCUUGUUUACAUUCUGUCAGUCAUGAGGCCACACCUAACUUCACCAAAGGCUGAGAAAUGUGACCUGGCUGAGUGUCCAGGAAGAGAGGAACUGAAUUUGAACAGUUAUCCAGUCUCUGCCACACGCUUUGGUGACAUUUGUUAUUUUCUCCCUAUUUCCCUUCCCUUGCAUAAUAGCUGUUUGGUUGGUAUUGAGUCCACUCUCAGCUCCAUGGUGGGCCCCACACUCUCCUUGCAGCAGUUGUUAGUUCAGUAAUAGUUGUAUAACCCAGGCUUAAUCCAGGCAGAGGGCAUAGAAUGCUUCUGGUCUCAGCUACUAGUCCAGGGGCAGGCAUGUGAUGUAAAGUGUCCCAAUCACUGUGACUGGGGGAAAAUACCAACCACUACCUCCUCGCAGGGAGAGCAGAGUCAGCUCGUGGAGGACAAACUUGGAGGAUUCCUGAGUCACACAGAGCUGGAGUCCUGUUGAAAUUCCUUGAAGCUGACAAGAUCUGAUGCUGUGCAAGCUAUUAAAUCCACUUCAUCACAUAAUAAUCAGAAGUUAAUUAAAAAAAAAAGAUAAUUCUGCUGGGGAUUUAGCUCAGUGGUUCCACCGCCUGCCUUGCAAGCGAAAGGACCCGAGUUCGAUCCCCGGUACCAAAAAAAAAGAAGUAAAUUUUCUUACAACCAAAAGCAUUCUGAUUGAUAAACUUAUAAAAUGGAAAGGAAAUGAAGAGAGAAAAGAUAGAAGCUGGAUCUCCAAGUUCUGUUUCCUGCCAUUGCUAAUUUUUCUGUGAUGUGUUUUGAAUACCCAAGCAUUACAUCAGAGGUCAUUAGAUUUUUAACAUUCUUCUUUUUUAAAGCUCCAAGUAUAUACAAACUGUGGCCUGCAGGAUGCUUGCUUGCUCUCUCGCUCUUUCUCUCUCUCUCUCUCUUUUUGGUACUGGGGAUCAAAUUCAGGACUUUGUGCUUGCCAGGCAGGCGCUGUGCUGCUGAGCUAAAUCCCCAGCCCUCCAUCUCUCUCUCUUUUUUAAUGUUAUAAUAGCAAAUAUAAAAAAAGGAAGUUUUGUUACUUAUAUAUAUUAACCAUAAUAUACAUUUUAUAUAUUUAAACAAUUCCUGUUCAACCAAGCCAAAUGGUUGGACAGGCCUGCAUGAUUUCUUCCUGAACUGAAUGAUAUAUAGUUCUUUUGAAGAAUAAAAAUUUAUUUCUCUUUCAUCCAAAUGAAUGAAACAUAGCCAUAUAAUGUCUUUUCUAUAUUUAUUUUUAGCACCUUUAGCUUUUUCAUCAAGCAAGUACACAAAAUAAAUUUAUCAUAUACAUUGAAGAAUGUGUUUUGUUUAUAGCUGGGCAUUAUCUCUGAUACUAGUAAAGGAAUUUUCUGUUUUUGAGUUGAAUGUUCCAAACUCUUUGGAAUAGUUUGUCACGUUUGGUGAUUUUAAAUUUCCUAGCACCUCCAACUUGAGCAAAAUGCCACAUGGCAUUCCUGAGUGAACAUUUUGAAAGAGUUGUGUGGCAUCCAGUGAGGCAUUUGGAAGUCACCUGGUAAGUAUGUAGGGACUGUUGGACAAGAAUCUCAUUUGCACAAUCAGAAGCCCUUGGCUCAGCACACAGACACCUCAUAUACCUGUGGUUGCAAAUGUAAGCCAUUGAAGUCCCCAGCCUGACUCACCCUCUCAGAAUAUGGAGAGUAGCAUAGGGGUGACAACCUCAGCAACCUCAUCUCGAAAAGGGUUUGAAGUAAUUUAAAGAAUACUUAGGGUAGGAUAAAAAAUGGAGAAGAGAAUUGGGCCAAAGAAACACAAGAGUGACUUAAUAAUCAGCUGAGCUGGAGUCAAAGAGGUAUAUGGAAGUGCAUGCCACCCAGCUGGGCAUUGUUGGCCCAGGGGCCUGGGCUUCACAUUGGGCUCUGAGCUUCCCACAGCCUCACUGAACAGGAAAACUAGCUGUGACUCAGGAGGAGUUCAAAUUUCUGAGCUGAAAGAAACUGCUCUCCUAGAUCCCUUUUGAGGGCCAAGACUCUCAAGAAUGUUCCCCUAAUAAGUGUAGUGUGCAUAUGAGGACAGGAGUGACUGGGGUCAUAGAGAAAGCAUGUAGGCAGCACUUGGUGUCCAGCUGUGGGACAUUGUGUUUUGCACACCAUUCUGUAAGGUCAUGUGAUCUUUUUUUUUUUAUUACCAAUGCUGGUCCUCCCUUGUGUGGGGGGCCUAAUGUGGACAAUUGCAUUGAUCUGGUUUUGGAGUUUUGCAUUUUGCAGAAUGUUUACUAGCUAGAGGCAAAGCAGAUGAAAGAGCAAGCGUAGGGGGUGGGAUGACAGAAGUAAUAAGCCUUAGAGGGGAUGAGGGCCCUAGGAGAACAGGUGAGAUAUGGGCCUGGAGGCAUCAGUCACCACAGUGGGCUGAAGUUUACUUGCUUAGCACAGUGCCCAAUAGGUGGAUUGAGUCAGUGUGUGGUAGUGAAGACUGCAGAAGCAGCCAACCACGAAAGUACAGGAACAGCUAUAGCUGAUCUAUGCUGUCAGAAGUCAGCACAGUGGUACUGGGAACGGGUACUGGGCACAUCUAGUGUGCUGCUCACAUUGCAUCUUGAGCUGAUACUGGCUGUACAGGUGUAUUCAGUUUGGGACGAUGUGUCUGUUAGUACACUUGUAUGUGCUUUUGUCUGAGUGUGUUCAGUGAAAUGUUUGAAAGAAAGUAUGUACUUCAGUGCCAGGCCACUUGUUUUCACACCCCAGUUCUGCCACUUUAUAGCAAUGGGACAUUGGGCAAAUUAUGUAACCUCGUUGUGCCUCAGAUUUCCAUUCAGUCAAACAAGAAUAAUAAUGCUUAGCUGGGUGCAGUGGUGCACUCUAUAAUCCCAGCUUCUCAAGUUUGAGGCCAGCCUGGACAACUUAGCAAGACCCUGUCUCAAAAUAAAAAAUAAUAUAUGAAUAUAAGUAUCAUGCAUUAACCAAUUGUAGCACUGGAGCUCCUAUAUAUAAAUAAAAAGGGCUGGGGAAGUAACUCAGUGGUAGAACAUUUGCCUGGCAUGUGCAAACCCCUGAGUUUAAUCCCCAGUACCUAAAUAAAUAAAGAAAAGGCUAGGAUGCAAUUCAGCAGCGCCACACCUGCCUAGCAAGCACAAGGUCCUGAGUUUGGUCUCUGGUACCAGGGAAAAAAAAGAACAAAAGAAAAUAACAUGUAUCAAAGAAGUACCUGAGGAUUGAAUGAGUCAGUACUUGCCAAGUACAUGAGUGUCUCUAGUAAAUAGUAAACAUUCCCUGAGAAUUACCUGUUACUUGUUACUUCUGUUAAUUAUUAUUAUUAUAAAUGAGAAUUGUAUGAGGGAAAACUGAAGAAUUGCUUGUGGACAUUCUACAAAAUGAUAUUCUGAGUGUGGCCAUGCAGUUGUGUCUGGAGUGGAAUGGGAUUGGAUUGCAUGUCUUAGAGUUCAAGCAGGGGAACUGGGAGGGAGUGGUGUUGCCAUAUUGGCCUUAGUGUUGUCCACGUGAUGGCAGGGGAGGACUUGGGGUGGUGAAGACUGAACUUGAGGGACUGAGAUUCUUGUUGUUCUUUGCUUUUUGAGACAGGGUCUCACUAUGUAGUUCAGGCUGGCCUUGAACUCAUUGUGUAGCCCAGGGUGGCAGGGAACUCAGGGUGAUCUUCCUACCUCAGCUUCCAGAGUGCUGGGAUUACAGGCAUGCACCCCACCCCAGGCACUGAGAUUCUUUUUUCAAAAUUUAUAUAUUAAUUGAUACAUUUUAGGUGUACAGUACAUUUACACUUAUCAUUGCGUGUUUGUACCUGAACAUGAUGUAUCUUAGUUCUUAUUUUUCCCCCAUUACCUAUGUGCCUUUCACCCCCACCACCCUUCCCUAUUUACAUAGACUUUGUUUCCAUUUUUUUUUCUUUCUCAUAAUUUUUCCUUUCCCUUCUUCCCUUUCCCCUUCUCCUCCUGCCACCCCUACACCUUUGGACCUUUUCCUACGUCAAAUUAUCAAUUAUUCAUUUUAAUAAUUUUCAUCCUUAUUUACACUUUCAGUUUCUCACACUAGAGAAACUAUUCGGUAUUUACACAUGUGUGUCCU
ensembl:lncRNA